UACGAAGGGGGCUAGCGUUGCUCGGAAUCACUGGGCGUAAAGGGUGCGUAGGCGGGUUCUUUAAGUCAGGGGUGAAAUCCUGGAGCUCAACUCCAGAACUGCCUUUGAUACUGAGGAGCUUGAGUCCGGGAGAGGUGAGUGGAACUGCGAGUGUAGAGGUGAAAUUCGUAGAUAUUCGCAAGAACACCAGUGGCGAAGGCGGCUCACUGGCCCGGUACUGACGCUGAGGUGCGAAAGCGUGGGGAGCAAACAGGG
rnacentral:rRNA from 1 species